GACGAACGCUGGCGGCGUGCUUAACACAUGCAAGUCGAACGGAAAGGCCCUGCUUUUGUGGGGUGCUCGAGUGGCGAACGGGUGAGUAACACGUGAGUAACCUGCCCUUGACUUUGGGAUAACUUCAGGAAACUGGGGCUAAUACCGGAUAGGAGCUCCUGCUGCAUGGUGGGGGUUGGAAAGUUUCGGCGGUUGGGGAUGGACUCGCGGCUUAUCAGCUUGUUGGUGGGGUAGUGGCUUACCAAGGCUUUGACGGGUAGCCGGCCUGAGAGGGUGACCGGCCACAUUGGGACUGAGAUACGGACCAGACUGCUACGGGAGGCAGCAGUGGGGAAUAUUGCACAAUGGGGGGAAGCCUGAUGCAGCAACGCCGCGUGCGGGAUGACGGCCUUCGGGUUGUAAACCGCUUUCGCCUGUGACGAAGCGUGAGUGACGGUAAUGGGUAAAGAAGCACCGGCUAACUACGUG
rnacentral:rRNA from 1 species